rnacentral:snRNA from 1 species
GACCGUGUGCAGUGGGGUUGCUGUGGCCGAUAAAGUUUAUCUGAGGCGCAGUUAUUGCUAGUUGACAGCUAUACUUGGAGCUCACAAAAUGGAUAAUAAUAAGAAGCAGACUGUAAAAUGAAAUGUGGCCGGAGUUUUCUGAUGGAACUGACCGUUGCAACCUCGUAUUUGGUUGUUUUCAAAAAAA